rnacentral:rRNA from 1 species
ACUCAAAUGAAUAGACGGGGCUCCGCACAAGCAGUGGAUCAUGUGGUUUAAUCCGAUGCUACGCGAAGAACCUUACCAGGGCUUGACAUCCUGAUCGUCGGCCUAGGAAACUAGGCUUUCAGUUCGGCUGGAUCAGUGACAGAUGUUGCAUGGCCGUCGUCAGCUCGUGUCGUGAGAUGUUGGGUUAAGUCCCGCAACGAGCGCAACCCUUGUCGUGUGUUGUAUGUUUCACACGAGACUGCCCGAGCCAAUCGGGAGGAAGGUGGGGAUGAGGUCAGGUCUGCAUGGCUCUUAAGCCCUGGGCUACACACGUGAUACAAUGGCCGGUACAACGGGUCGCGAAAGCGCGAGCUGAAGCUAAUCCCAUCAAAACCGGUCCCAGUUCGGAUUGCAGGCUGAAACUCGCCUGCAUGAAGUUGGAAUUGCUAGUAACCGUGGGUCAGCACACCACGGUGAAUACGUUCCCGGAGCUUGUACACACCGCCCGU